rnacentral:snRNA from 1 species
GUGCUCAGUUCAGCAGCAUAUAUACUAAAAUUGGAACAAUACAGAGAUUAGCAUGGCCCCUGUGCAAGGAUGACACACAAAUUUGUGAAAUGUUCCAUAUUCUU